GAGUUUGAUCCUGGCUCAGGACGAACGCUGGCGGCGUGCCUAAUACAUGCAAGUCGAGCGGAGAUUUGAAAAGCUUGCUUUUCAAAUCUUAGCGGCGGACGGGUGAGUAACACGUGGGCAACCUGCCCUUGAGACGGGGAUAACUCCGGGAAACCGGAGCUAAUACCGGAUAACACAUAUCUUCGCAUGAAGAUAUGUUAGAAGGUGGCUUUUAGCUAUCACUCAAGGAUGGGCCCGCGGCGCAUUAGCUAGUUGGUGAGGUAACGGCUCACCAAGGCGACGAUGCGUAGCCGACCUGAGAGGGUGAUCGGCCACACUGGGACUGAGACACGGCCCAGACUCCUACGGGAGGCAGCAGUAGGGAAUCUUCCGCAAUGGACGAAAGUCUGACGGAGCAACGCCGCGUGAGUGAUGAAGGUUUUCGGAUCGUAAAGCUCUGUUGUUAGGGAAGAACAAGUACCUGUUGAAUAAGCAGGUACCUUGACGGUACCUAACCAGAAAGCCACGGCUAACUACGUGCCAGCAGCCGCGGUAAUACGUAGGUGGCAAGCGUUGUCCGGAAUUAUUGGGCGUAAAGCGCGCGCAGGCGGUUCCUUAAGUCUGAUGUGAAAGCCCACGGCUCAACCGUGGAGGGUCAUUGGAAACUGGGGAACUUGAGUGCAGAAGAGGAGAGCGGAAUUCCACGUGUAGCGGUGAAAUGCGUAGAGAUGUGGAGGAACACCAGUGGCGAAGGCGGCUCUCUGGUCUGUAACUGACGCUGAGGCGCGAAAGCGUGGGGAGCGAACAGGAUUAGAUACCCUGGUAGUCCACGCCGUAAACGAUGAGUGCUAAGUGUUAGAGGGUUUCCGCCCUUUAGUGCUGCAGCAA
rnacentral:rRNA from 1 species